AGCUAUCAUUGCCUUUUCAUCGUCGGUGAAUAGACUAAUUUCUACUACCAUUGUAAAGUUGACGAUCAAUUAGUUUUUUAAGCGAGCCGAAAGAAAACGUUAUUUACCGUAAUAAAGUUAAAAGUAUAUAUGGCAGAAUAGCAUCUCUUACUAACUAUUAAGGCAGAAUUACCGAAUAAAAGAAGUUUUAUGUAUCGGAAGGGAAACUAUGCUGGGAAUUCCGAUGAAACCAUUAAAAGGCAUUCGGUGAAUGACUUACGCACUUGAUGACGGUAACACAAUGGUCAUUGAUUGCAACAGACUUCAACUAUAAUCCAAUGGAUUUUUGUUGCUAAGGCUAAUAGAUGUCAGGAUGUCUUGACCCGAAACUUUUGCCAUUCGAUUUAAUGCUUUUUUUUUGUUUUUUUUUUAAUAAUAAUAAAAUAUUUCAAGUUAUGUGGCACAUUUAUCGGAUUUUAAACAUUCAAAUUUUAAGCGAUAUUUUGCAUUAUCUAGUAACCUACCACUCUAACAAGUGGCUAUAUCAGUCUGGAGAGAAACGUGCAUUACAUAAGCAUGCAGCGAUAGAUGAACCGUACUGAAAAAGUUGCUCAUAAACUUGUUAAGAUGGAAUAAAUAUUCAAGGAAUUACUGUGUUACUCAGCAUACAGAAAAUAACCCGUUUUCUUUCUUAAAUUAAGUAAAAAAACAUCGACAAGCAAC
rnacentral:lncRNA from 1 species